UUAACUUAUUAUAUAAUACUCAGACGACACUAAACACAGAGUUGGGGGCUAUUGGCCGACAUGACCGGGCGAACCCGGACGCCCGAGGGCGCCGACCAAAGCAACAAGAGUAAAUAACACAGGGUGGGAGGUCUACCCCGGAGGGCAUGAUCUCUGUAAUGAUCCUUCCGCUGGUUCACCAACGGAAA
rnacentral:misc_RNA from 1 species